CCUGACAGAGACGGUGGAGAUGACGAUGGAGACCAGAGAAGACUCCGUCACAAUCUCAAAGAAAGCUACAGAAUGCCCAACGUUUCUGUCUGAUGAGACUUCGAAAUGGUGGCUGAUCCUCAUCCCCAUCUUCAUCAUCAUCAUCGUCACCAUCCUGGUGGUUUACUGCUCAUGGAAGA